AACCAAAUGGGGAUGGUACGAAAUGGAGCCGAGUCAUUAACUCCGAGAAUCACCUGGCGCUCAUCGGGCUGAUACCUCGUCUGAUCUGGAUGGGCUUGAUCGCCGCCAGCGGCUGGAGCGCCGAAGCACCGGGGACGCAGACCCACGGGUUGGCCAGCCACAAGCGCUCCUGCUCCUCACCCCCAGAGCAAGGAAUAAGACAUGGACACAUUUGAGAGGCCAUUUCUUCUGCUCACCACUAGGCCACAGGAAAUGAAAGCGGAUGCUAAUGGAGGAACCCACUGUCACCCACUGAGUUGGUAUGAAGAAUAUUUUAACUGAAACAUUUAAGAUACAGCAGAUACAGAAAGAAGCCUUUCUGGAGCGUCCCUUCAUUUGACUAAAGGCAGAGCUUUCAGAGAGUGAAGCUGCCAUAAAUUCCCUCUUGGGGAGCUGCACUGCCAGUAAGGAGACUUCACUGCCAGGAAGAAAGCUCCACUGCCAGGAAAGAGACCACUUGCACCAGAAUGACAAAUUGCAUAACCGAACAUAAUCACAAAUUGUCAUAUCUUCAUUUGUUUCCCUAAAAUCCCAUUUGUCUUUCCAUAAAAGCAUAUUUGUUUUCCCAUAGAUCCCUUUCUCUCCUCCUCCCUUUUCCCAUAUUGUUGGCAUAUAAACUCUCAUCUCUAACUGUACAGAGAGCCUCUUCAGCUGAAUAAGUGUAAAUAAACUUCGUAUGUUCUGUUAAUCCA